CAUGCAGUCGAGCGGUUGAGGAAGCUUGCUUCCUGAUUCAGCGGCGGACGGGUGAGUAAUGCCUAGGAAUCUGCCUGGUAGUGGGGGACAACGUUUCGAAAGGAACGCUAAUACCGCAUACGUCCUACGGGAGAAAGCAGGGGACCUUCGGGCCUUGCGCUAUCAGAUGAGCCUAGGUCGGAUUAGCUAGUUGGUGAGGUAAUGGCUCACCAAGGCGACGAUCCGUAACUGGUCUGAGAGGAUGAUCAGUCACACUGGAACUGAGACACGGUCCAGACUCCUACGGGAGGCAGCAGUGGGGAAUAUUGGACAAUGGGCGAAAGCCUGAUCCAGCCAUGCCGCGUGUGUGAAGAAGGUCUUCGGAUUGUAAAGCACUUUAAGUUGGGAGGAAGGGCAGUCAGCGAAUACCUUGCUGUCUUGACGUUACCGACAGAAUAAGCACCGGCUAACUCUGUGCCAGCAGCCGCGGUAAUACAGAGGGUGCAAGCGUUAAUCGGAAUUACU
rnacentral:rRNA from 1 species